rnacentral:rRNA from 1 species
GAGUUUGAUUCUGGCUCAGAACGAACGCUGGCGGCGCGUCUUAAGCAUGCAAGUCGAACGGUAAGGGAGAGCUUGCUCUCCCCUAGAGUGGCGGACUGGUGAGUAGCGCGUAGGUGACCUACCCUGAAGAUGGGGAUAGCUAGUAGAAAUAUUAGAUAAUACCGAAUAAGCUCAUUUGCAUAAAGGCAGAUGAGGAAAGGAGCUACGGCUCCGCUUUAGGAUGGGCCUGCGUCCCAUUAGCUAAGUUGGUGAGGUAAAGGCUUACCAAGGCAACGAUGGGUAUCCGGCCUGAGAGGGUGAACGGACACAUUGGGACUGAGAUACGGCCCAAACUCCUACGGGAGGCAGCAGCUAAGAAUCUUCCGCAAUGGACGAAAGUCUGACGGAGCGACGCCGUGUGAAUGAAGAAGGCUGAAAAGUUGUAAAAUUCUUUUGCAGAUGAAGAAUAAGGAUAGGAGGGAAUGCCUAUCUGA